rnacentral:rRNA from 1 species
UACGUAUGGAGCAAGCGUUAUCCGGAUUUACUGGGUGUAAAGGGUGCGUAGGCGGCAGUGCAAGUCAGAUGUGAAAGGCCGGGGCUCAACCCCGGAGCUGCAUUUGAAACUGCAUAGCUAGAGUACAGGAGAGGCAGGCGGAAUUCCUAGUGUAGCGGUGAAAUGCGUAGAUAUUAGGAGGAACACCAGUGGCGAAGGCGGCCUGCUGGACUGUUACUGACACUGAGGCACGAAAGCGUGGGGAGCAAACAGG